rnacentral:rRNA from 1 species
AUUGAACGCUGGCGGCAUGCCUAACACAUGCAAGUCGAGCGGAUGAAGGGAGCUUGCUCCUGUAUUCAGCGGCGGACGGGUGGGUAAUGCCUAGGAAUCUGCCUUGUAGUUGGGGAUAACGUCCGGAAACGGGCGCUAAUACCGCAUACGUCCUGAUGGAGAAAGUGGGGGAUCUUCGGACCUCACGCUAUCAGAUGAGCCUAGGUCGGAUUAGCUAGUUGGUUGGGUAAAGGCCUACCAAGGCGACGAUCCGUAACUGGUCUGGGAGGAUGAUCAGUCACACUGGAACUGAGACACGGUCCAGACUCCUACGGGAGGCAGCAGUGGGGAAUAUUGGACAAUGGGCGAAAGCCUGAUCCAGCCAUGCCGCGUGUGUGAAGAAGGUCUUCGGAUUGUAAAGCACUUUAAGUUGGGAGGAAGGGCAGUAAGUUAAUACCUUGCUGUUUUGACGUUACCAAAAGAAUAAGCACCGGCUAACUUCGUG